rnacentral:rRNA from 1 species
UAUUGGACAAUGGGGGGAACCCUGAUGCAGCGACGCCGCGUGAGCGAAGAAGUAUUUCGGUAUGUAAAGCUCUAUCAGCAGGGAAGAAGAUGACGGUACCUGACUAAGGAGCUACGGCUAAAUACGUGCCAGCAGCCGAGGUAGUACGGAUGGAGCAAGCGUUAUCCGGAUUUACUGGGUGUAAAGGGAGCGUAGGCGGCCUGGCAAGUCUGGUGUGAAAUACCGGGGCCCAACCCCGGGACUGCAUUGGAAACUGCCAGGCUGGAGUGUCGGAGGGGCAGGCGGAAUUCCUAGUGUAGCGGUGAAAUGCGUAGAUAUUAGGAGGAACACCGGUGGCGAAGGCGGCCUGCUGGACGACAACUGACGCUGAGGCUCGAAAGCGUGGGGAGCAAACAGG